rnacentral:rRNA from 1 species
UGGAGUAUGUGGUUUAAUUCGAUGCAACGCGAAGAACCUUACCUGGUCUUGACAUCCCGGAGACCCUUAGGAAACUAGGGGGUGCUUCCAUCUGGAAGAAUCUGGAGACAGGUGCUGCAUGGCUGUCGUCAGCUCGUGUCGUGAGAUGUUGGGUUAAGUCCCGCAACGAGCGCAACCCUUGCCUUUAGUUGCCAGCAGUUCGGCUGGGCACUCUAAAGGGACUGCCGGUGUUAAACCGGAGGAAGGUGGGGAUGACGUCAAGUCCUCAUGGCCUUUAUGACCAGGGCUACACACGUACUACAAUGGCCGAUACAAAGGGCAGCGACACUGCGAGGUGAAGCCAAUCCCGUAAAAUCGGUCUCAGUCCGGAUUGGAGUCUGCAACUCGACUCCAUGAAGUUGGAAUCGCUAGUAAUCGUGAAUCAGAAUGUCACGGUGAAUACGUUCCCGGGCCUU